GAAGUAGAUGACGCAGAGAGAAAAGCAAGGACGGAGAGAAAUCCGUCAGUGGCGGCAGAGCAGAGUCGGAUCAGUGCGCUCCUGCUGGUGAGAGGCUGCAGGUCCAGGGAGGUGCACCCUGUGUGCUCAGGACCCACCUCGCAGGCCCGCAGGCCACAAUGGUUUCCUGUGCUUGUCACCGUUGGUGAGGCCGUCCACUGGAAUACUAAUGGGAAGGCCAAGAAAAGUCGGCGUGCCUUGUGAGGGAUGGGUUAGAAAGGGAAAGACGUCACAGCUGGGACCACCUAAGCGGGAAGUAACGUGCUUGAAGCCUACCAGCCUGGCUCUCAAAAUCAUGAAGGUCAUGGGAGGAAGAAGAGCAUAAUCUCAGAAUAAAAGGGACAGGCCUUUCAAAGGAAUCAAUUUAGCAAGCUGGAAAACUCAUGAUGUUUUCCUUCAGUUUGCAGAAGACAGGUGACUGUCAGCGUCCAUCCCAGUGUUUGGGAGCCUCUGUCUACGGCCUCUCACCAGGUGAGCACAGCUCAAGUGAGCUGAAUGAGGAGUUGAUGUCUUUGGUUGUUGCCUGGAGAAGCCAUUGUGAGUCUCUUCUCAUAAGAUCCAGCCUGCAGCCAGGGACAAGGCUGGCCUGGCAGUGGUGACCCCAAGCCCAGACUCCUAUCCCUUUAGCUCUGUCUCAGACACAUGGCCUGAUUUUUUUCUCCUCUGUAGGCAGGUGGCUAUUCUUGACACGAAU